ACCUGGAUUCUAAGGUUUUGUGCCUCUUU
rnacentral:piRNA from 1 species